rnacentral:rRNA from 1 species
AUCGAACGCUGGCGGCAGGCCUAACACAUGCAAGUCGAACGAGUGGCGGACGGGUGAGCAAUUUCUGGGAAACUGCCUGAUGUAGGGGGCUAACUACUGGAAACGUUAGCUAAUACCGCAUACGAUCCGAUGUGCCGUGGUGGGAUUAGCUAGUUGGGGGGGUAACGGCGCACCAAGGCGACGAUGCCUAGCUGGUCUGAGAGGCUGACCGGCCACACUGGAACUGAGACACGGCCCAGACUCCUACGGGAGGCAGCAGUGGGGAAUAUUGCACAAUGGGCGAAAGCCUGAUGCAGCCAUGCCGCGUGUAUGAAGAAGGCCUUCGGGUUGUAAAGUUCUUUCAGCAGGGAGGCGUUACCCGCAGAAGAAGCAACGGCUAACUCCGUGCCAGCCGCCGCGGUAAUAC